GAUGAACGCUAGCUAUAGGCUUAACACAUGCAAGUCGAGGGACCGGCGCACGGGUGAGUAACGCGUAUCCAACCUGCCCAUAACUAAGGGAUAACCCAGCGAAAGUUGGACUAAUACCUUAUGGUUAUGGAUGGGGAUGCGUCUGAUUAGCUUGUUGGUGAGGUAACGGCUCACCAAGCCUUCGAUGGAUAGGGGUGCUGAGAGGAAGGUCCCCCACAUUGGAACUUGGACACGGUCCAAACUCCUACGGGAGGCAGCAGUGAGUAAUAUUGGGUAAUGGGCGGUAGCCUGAACCAGCCAAGUAGCGUGAAGGAUGAAUGCUUAUGGGUCGUAAACUUCUUUUAUAUAAGAAUAUGUAUUAUAUGAAUAAGGAUCGGCUAACUCCGUGCCAGCAGCCGCGGUAAUAC
rnacentral:rRNA from 1 species